GAAGCCAUAAUAAGCCGAAAAAAUAAAAUAUAAUAAAUAAAAGAAAAGAGUACAAAAUGGAUAGCCAAUGAAAUAGAAGAGGAAGAGAUACCCGUUACCCAUGAGCUAUGAUUAUUGAAAACAAAAGCCAAUGAUCUCCACUGAUGUAGCAUUCAGAAGGAAGAUGAUGAGAUUCCUUUUGCCGGCCGCACCACGCUUCGGAGAUAUAACAUAAUUAAUCAGAAGACAAAAUAAUAAUGAUCAAUUUAAAUAUUAAUUGUUAUCCUGCGAUAAUAUAAAAAAGCCAUAAAGAUUGAGCGGUUUUAAGGUUUUGUAACCCCACCACCAUGCGCGAUCCUUCUGCUUUAUUAUUUGUGAUCUGAUAAAGAAAAAGGUUAGCUAGUGGGCAGCAGCAACCUAGAAGAAGAUUAAAGUAAAUAUUGAUGAUAUGCGACUGCCACCGAAACCGGGAAAGCGAUUUGCACCCGUUAUUAAUUUUGAGACACAGAGAAUAGAGCAUCUGCAUUGAAAGCAUCAUGGAUCCCACAGGCAUAC
rnacentral:lncRNA from 1 species